AUGUGGCCGGGGCCCGCGCCGGAGCAGGGUCCUAACAGAACCAGCGAGGGCUCGGAGCUGUGCCUGAGGCUUGACGACGCGCCUGGAGUUCUGGGCUCGCUUCACACAUCCCUCGCCUCCGUAGGCAACAAGGAGCGAGGUUGGAACGACCCGCCACAGUUCUCAUACGGGCUGCAGAGCCAGGCCGGCAGACCCAGGCACGCACUACUCACCAAGAGGGUCGCCACACCCCAGGAUAGAUCCCCCAGAGUCCCAGCCUCAGAGACUUCUCCUGGGCCUCCCUCAAUGGGGCCUCCAGCUCCUUCAAGUAAGGCUCCCAGGUCCUCACCUGUGGGGAGUGAUCCUGCCUCUGGUGUGGAGCCCACAAGUUUCCCAGUUGAGUCUGAGGCUCUGAUGGAAGAUGAGCUGAGACCUUUGGAACAGGCAUUGGAAGACUGCCGUGGCCACACAAAGAAACAAGAAUGUGAUGACAUCAGCCGACGCCUGGCACUGCUGCAGGAACAGUGGGCUGGAGGAAGGUUGUCAAUACCUGUAAAGAAUAGAAUGGCUCUACUGGUACAAGAGCUUUCAACCCACCAGUGGGAUGCAACAGAUGGCAUCCACUGCUCACUCAUGGUUGACCAUGUGACUGAGGCCAAUCAGUGGAUGGAGUUAAAAGAUUAAUUGCGGAAAGAAGAGUCUGUUUUCAGAGGAGGCAGCCAAUGAAGAGAAAUCUGCAGCCACAGCUGAGAAGAACCAGACCAUACCGGGCUUCCAGCGGGCGCCAUAAUCGUCGGUUCCUCAGACUCACCCGACACCAUCACCUACUCCUUGGAGUCCUUCUCUUACUUGGCUCCCUCUUACCACCAACGAGACUGUCCCACUGGGCCUGACCCACCUAUGAGGGAAGAGGUCCCACCUGGGCCAGAGGGAGUUCGUGUGUUACUCAUAACAUGCAUUUCAAUAAAAACAUGUCAGUGGUGAAAAAAAAAUACAAAAAUUAGCCAGGUGUGGUGGUGGUUGCUUGUAAUCCUAGCUACUUGGGAGGCUGAGGCAGGAGAAUCACUUGAACCUAGGCGGCAGAAGUGAGCCGAAACCGUGUCAUUACACUCCAGUGUGGGCAACAAGAGUGAAACUCAAUUAAAAAAAAAAAAAAGGUUUUAGUCAGGAAGCCAGACUCAGUGGCUCACACCUGUAAUCCCAGCACUUUGGGAGGCCGAGGCAGGUAGAUCACUUGAGGUAGAUCACUCAGCAUUUCAAGACCUGCCUGGCCAACGUGAUGAAGCCCCAUCUCUACCAAAAAUACAAAAAUUAGCUGAUCAUGGUGGCAGGUGCCCGUAAUCCCAGCUACUUGGGAGGCUGAGGCAGGAGAAUUGCUUGAGCCCAGGAGGCAGAAUUUGCAGUGAACUGAGAUUAUGCCAUUGCACUCCAUCUUGGGUGACGGAGCAAGACUCUCUCUCUCAAAAACAAACAAAACAAAAAAAAGUUUCAGUCAGAAAGGAAAUCAAACAGUAACAGGCCAAAAGGAUGAUGGCUAACACCUGCAAUCUCAGCACUUUGGGAAGCAGAGGUGGGAAGACUG